UGGGGAAUAUUGCACAAUGGGCGCAAGCCUGAUGCAGCCAUGCCGCGUGUGUGAAGAAGGCCUUCGGGUUGUAAAGCACUUUCAGCGGGGAGGAAGGCGUUAAAGUUAAUACCUUUGCUCAUUGACGUUACCCGCAGAAGAAGCACCGGCUAACUCCGUGCCAGCAGCCGCGGUAAUACGGAGGGUGCAAGCGUUAAUCGGAAUUACUGGGCGUAAAGCGCACGCAGGCGGUCUGUCAAGUCGGAUGUGAAAUCCCCGGGCUCAACCUGGGAACUGCAUUCGAAACUGGCAGGCUAGAGUCUUGUAGAGGGGGGUAGAAUUCCAGGUGUAGCGGUGAAAUGCGUAGAGAUCUGGAGGAAUACCGGUGGCGAAGGCGGCCCCCUGGACAAAGACUGACGCUCAGGUGCGAAAGCGUGGGGAGCAAACAGG
rnacentral:rRNA from 1 species